CUAUCAUGAUCAUCGUGAUUAUCGUGAUUAUCGUGAUCAUCAUGAUCACCAUUAUGAUCAUCAUGAUCAUGAUCGUCAUCAUCAUCAUGAUCAUUA